CCUGCCGAACUGCUGGCGCCCUACACCGGCGAUAUCGCCGCCGAGGGCGUCAGUAAAGCGCUGCGGGGCGGCGCAAUGUUCCUCAAACGCGGUCUUCAGCGCCAGCAGCGCUAUGUUGCGGAAGCAAUCACCGAAGAGUGGCGCAUGGCGCCGGGGCCGUUGGAAGUCGCGUGGUUUGCCGAAGAGACGGCAGCGGUUGAACGCGCCGUAGAGGCCUUCAGCAAACGACUGGAAAAACUGGAGGGGAAAUGA
rnacentral:sRNA from 1 species